rnacentral:rRNA from 1 species
GUGAGUGAUGAAGGCCCUAGGGUUGUAGCUCUUUCGCCAGGGAAGAUAAUGACGGUAUUUGGUAAGUAAGCCCGGGCUAACUCCUUGCCAGGCAGCGCGGUAAUACGGAGGGGGUUAGCGUUGUUCGGAAUUACUGGGCGUAAAGCGCACUGAGGCGGAUUUAUAAGUCAGGGGUGCCACUCCCUAGGCUCAACCUGGGAACUGCCUUUGAUACUGUUAAUCUUGAGUUCG